UCCAGACUCCUACGGGAGGCAGCAGUGGGGAAUAUUGCACAAUGGGCGCAAGCCUGAUGCAGCCAUGCCGCGUGUGUGAAGAAGGCCUUCGGGUUGUAAAGCACUUUCAGCGAGGAGGAAGGUGGUGAGCUUAAUACGCUCAUCAAUUGACGUUACUCGCAGAAGAAGCACCGGCUAACUCCGUGCCAGCAGCCGCGGUAAUACGGAGGGUGCAAGCGUUAAUCGGAAUUACUGGGCGUAAAGCGCACGCAGGCGGUUUGUUAAGUC
rnacentral:rRNA from 1 species